UUUUUUUUCUUUUCAGGGCCACACCUGCAGCACAUGGAUGUUCCCGGGCCAGCGGUGGAAUCGGAGCUGCAGCUGCCAGCCUCUGCCACAGCCAGGCAGGAUCCAAGCCGUGCCUUUGACCUAUGCUGCAGCUUGCGGCAACGCUGGAUCCUUAACCCAUCGAGCGAGGCCAGGAAUCAAACCCACGUCCUCACAGAGGCAUCAGGUCCUUAACCCACUGAGCCACAACGGGAACUCCUGGAAAGGAAACCUUAAAGAUGCAGGAUAAACUGGUGACCCACCAGGUCAAUGCGGUUAUGUUCAGCGUGCCGUGCCACCAGCAGCGACUGGCGCAGGAGGCCCGCGACACCGCAGCGGUUUGGGUAGACUUUUGUCCCAUCUACGGAGGAUGGCACUGAGGACUGGUUGUCACACGCCCCUUAAGACACAGAGCAGGUUCCAUAGAAACUGGUAAGUGAUGCGUUUGGUAAUUAAGCGCUACGUGGUCAUUAGCGAAGGCAUAUUCCCUGUCUGCCCUGCGGUGUAUUGACGCCCUGGCAGAGGCGGGCGCCCGGCGGGACACAGGGGAGGCAUUCGACUGAGUCCCGGACUCGGGCAAGCAGCCGAGGAGAGGCCUCGUGAGGGGUCCUUCAAGAUGCCCGAGUUACACAACUGAAGGUGGCGGGGGAUCCAGGUGGCGGAGACCUCACCUACGAAUGAAACCCACGCCAGGUUGUUGAGGAGAUCACGGUGCCAAACAGAGUGGCCCAGCUGGUGACAAUGCCUUCGGUUCAAAUUUCAGGAACUCGAACCCCACGUAAGCUACUCCGGGGGUGAGGCAAGGUGGGCUGGGGGUCUUCUCCAUGGAAGACCUCAAUGCCGACAAACUCACCACUUCCCGCAGCCCAGGUUUCUUGGAAGCAUGAAGUUCUGUUUCGAGGGAAAUUCGAUGCUAAAAAUUAACACCCCACUGAGGGAGUUCCCACUGUGUCUCUAGAGGUUAAGGACCAGACAUUGUCUCUGUCAGGAUGGAGUUCGAUCCCUGGCCUCGCCCAGUGGGUUCAGGAUCGGGUGUUGCUGUGGUGUAGGCCAGCAGUUGCAGCUCCAAUUCGAUCCCUAGCCCGGGAACUUCCACAUGCUGCAUAUCCUAAAAAUUAAAAGAAAAAAAUUUUUUAAACCACUGAGGACUUCUCCGGAGGGUUCUUGGAGAACCAAGGGCAUCAGCAAAGGGCGAGCUUGAGCGCUGUCUGCCGCAGGGAUGCCUGGAGCAAAGGCUUGUUUAGAACUCCCCUAGAGAAAGCAGGCGUCUUUCAGUUUCCCGUUCCUGCCAGGAGAGCCUGAGGCACCUUGUAAGGCAGUGACUCGUUCCUGUGCUUGGAUCCCAAACCCCGGAGAGGUCAGGGGGCGUUUCUCUCCAGCUCACCCACCGCUGCACCAGCUCUUGGCCCCCCCGCAGCCUGCAGCAAGGGACAGAGCCGCUGGCCAGGGUUAGCCAUCCCACCGACAGAAGUUCUAAGUUGCCAAUCAGUAAAUGUAAUUGCAUUAAAAUCUAAGGUUUCUUUUUUGUUUUUAAUCCUCUGCUAACUGCCCCGCAGAAACAGAUGUUGUUAUUCUGAGCCUGGCAAAUUACUGGAGUGACCUAACUGUGCCUCCGGUGCCAGCUCGGGGUGUGGAGGGUUUGAAGGCACUGCUCUGUUCCCC
rnacentral:lncRNA from 1 species